rnacentral:rRNA from 1 species
UAGGGAAUCUUCCGCAAUGGACGCAAGUCUGACGGAGCAACGCCGCGUGAGUGAAGAAGGAUUUCGGUUCGUAAAACUCUGUUGUUAGAGAAGAACAGCGCAUAGAGUAGCUGUUAUGCGUGUGACGGUAUCUAACCAGAAAGCCACGGCUAGCUACGUGCCAGCAGCCGCGGUAAUACGUAGGUGGCAAGCGUUGUCCGGAUUUAUUGGGCGUAAAGCGAGCGCAGGCGGUCAAUUAAGUCUGAUGUGAAAGCCCCCGGCUCAACCGGGGAGGGUCAUUGGAAACUGGUUGACUUGAGUGCAGAAGAGGAGAGUGGAAUUCCAUGUGUAGCGGUGAAAUGCGUAGAUAUAUGGAGGAACACCAGUGGCGAAGGCGACUCUCUGGUCUGUAACUGACGCUGAGGCUCGAAAGCGUGGGUAGCAAACAGG